rnacentral:rRNA from 1 species
AUGCCAGCGUGGGCUAUCAAUAUCAUCAACCGGCGCUGCAGGGGGUUCAUAUGGAAGGGAGAAGAGGAGAUCAACGGAGGUCAUUGCCUGCUGCCAUGGUCAAGAGUAUGUUUGCUGAUGGAGUUUGGUGGGCUCGGCAUUAUUAAUCUUAGGUGGUUUGGGUUGGCCCUGCGAUGCAAAUGGCCCUGGCUAAAGUGGGACACUGAAGAGAGGCCGUGGAAAUUACUUCCUGACACCACGGAAAGGGAGGUGCAGGCGAUGUUCAGUGCGGCCUGUCACAUUAGAUUGGGCGACGGUGAGUCCGCUAAGUUCUGGACGGACAACUGGCUUCCGGAUGGGCGUUCAAUCGCGACCAUGGCACCAGCACUAUUCUCGUUCGUCAAGGACAAAGGACGUUCAGUCAGGGAAGCCUUGCAAAGCCGUGCUUGGAUCAGAGACAUAUCAGGCGGGGUCUCGCUUAUCGCCAUGGCCCAAUACCUCAAAGUCUGGGACAUUGUGCGGGCCACUACUCUCGUAGCGGGAACGAGGGACGAGCCAAUCUGGAAGCUGGCGAAGGAUAAUCAGUUCUCUGUCAACAGUGCAUAUCAGAUGUUCUUUCUAGGCAACACGCGGUUUGCCUGCCACAAGCCAAUUUGGAAAUCAAAAGCGCCACCUCGCUGCAAAUUCUUCAUGUGGCUGGCAGUUCACAGGAGAUGCCUGACGGCUGAUAACUUGGAGCGCAGGAAUUGGCCCUCCAAUGGUGUUUGCCCCUUGUGCCUCUCUGAACCAGAAACCUGUACUCAUUUGUUUGUGCACUGCAACUUUACCAAGCAGGUCUGGACGCGCUUCAAGGCAUGGACAGGAGCUGAUUUUCAAAUUCCAGACAACAGCUUCAGCACAACGGAAGAUUGGUGGCUGAUUGCUAGGGCGGAUAUCCCCAAACAAAUGAGGCGGAAUUUUGACACGAUGGCAAUCUUAUUGCACUGGAGGGUCUGGAAGGAAAGAAAUGCGAGGAUAUUCGACAAUGUCGCCAGCCCAGUGGAGAGAGUCUUGGACCUGACCAAAGAAGAUAUCAGCAUGUGGAGGGCUGCGGGAUGCAUCAGCGAUCUGGCAGCCUAG